GACAAGUUUGGAAUAAGCUGUUAGCAACUUGUUAACAAGCUUGAUGGCAUUAUCAGACUUGUUACAAGGUUGUUCUAACAAGUCUGAUAGUGUCAUGAUAUAACAAGAAUGUUACAAGGUUGACGACACAAGGUUGUAACAAUAUUGUUAUAUCAUGACUGUAUCGGACUUGUUGGAACAACCUUGCAACAAGUCUGAUAAUAUCAACAAGGUUGUUACAAGUUGUUAACAGCUUGUUCCAAACUUGUU
rnacentral:miRNA from 1 species